rnacentral:piRNA from 1 species
UCCUCUGUCUGUUUUUCCUCG